CUACGGGGAUGAUACUAAGGAUUGAACUCUCUCUUUCUGAUGGAGUAGUGGAGAAAGCCUAAGAGUUCUGAGUAGC
ensembl:snoRNA SNORD26 Small nucleolar RNA SNORD26